UGGUUGCAUAGCCGCAAUUGAUGGGACACACAUACAUGUUGUCGUGCCAGCUGAAGAUAUUGCCAACCAUGUAGGAAGGAUCCGCACAUGACACAAGGAUAUUCAAAGACACGUUGAUAACUUAUUCAGAAAACUUCCCACAUCCACCUCCAGGGAGGUACUAUUUGGUUGACUCUGGUUAUUCGAAUCAGACCGGAAAUCUUGCUCCAUA